ensembl:lncRNA
GCUCAGCGUGCAGCUGCUCCGCCGUCUCCGACCACCUAUCAUACUUUAGAUGACUUCUUUAAUAAUCUUCCUGUAUUUAUCUCUAAUUGUUUCAUCUAUAGCUCUGCAGCAGGAUGUGCAGGUGAAGCUUGGAGAGGACGUCACUCUCCAGUGUCAGAUUACCACAGAUGAAAGAAUCUCAGUGCUGAAGUGGAGCAGAGCUGACCUGAACACAGACGGCUACGUCUACUUCUACAGGAACAAACGCUCCUAUGAAAACUACCAACAUCCAUCUUUUCAUGGCCGAGUGAAGCUGAGGGACCCAGAGAUGAAGGAUGGAGACGUUUCUCUGAUCCUGAACAACGUCACGUUUAAUGACACUGGGAUGUAUGAGUGUCACAUAGCAGUGAGGAAGUCUGUGAGAAGUAAAAGAGUUCACACUGAGAUCAGUCACUUCAUCAACCUCACAGUCACAGGUGAAACGCAUGAAAAUAUGCAUGAGAGACACAUCGUGGAAAGAGAAGAUGGAAGUGGAAACAUGUAUGACAUGCAACAGGCUGGAAAUCCGCCUGUCCUUAUGUUUGCUGGAGUUACUGCCAUCAUCAUCGUCAUCAUUGUUGUUCCUGCAUUUCUUUUGUUUGUGCUGCUCCUUAAAAUCAUAAGAAACAAAAAACUAGCUGUGCCUCCUAAUCAGGAAGCUACUGGUCUGAAAUGUUAAAGUUUCUUUUUUUUAAAGAAACUUCAAACGCUGAUAUUUACAUUCUUGCAAUAUCAAUUCCUUUUAGUACAUUUAUCAAGUAAUCAAAACUAAAAGAACCUCGCUGUUUCGGUUGAGCAAUUUGACAGUAUUUAGAGGGGGAAAAAAAUAGAAAAAGAAAAAAGCACUCAAGUUGUCUGCAGAGAAGACAAACACAACUUUGCCAGUUGUCUAGAUAACAUUAACCUUAAAAAAAAAAUCAAAAAAAAAAAAAUCCAGUUUUAAAUUUAAAACUGGAUUUUUUUAAAUGCUAAAAAUAGGUUUAGACAAAGUAAAGGAAAUGACUGAUUCUGGGUCAGAAGUCAUCACCAACGAUGAUCCAGACCUCAGGAUUAAAAAGGAACAGUUUUAAUGAUAAAAUGAUUACUGAAGAUGUGCCGCUGGCCUUGAAGCUGAAAAGAGUUAAACUCAGGAUACAUUUCAAGUUGCUGAGUUAAAUAGCAAAGAUUUUUUAUUAAUUAAAAAAACUGAGCUUUUAAAAAUGUGUAGUUUGAGUUUCUCCUUUUCCUCUUUAACUUCAUUUCCCACAGUGAGCAUCUGAGCUUCAGCCCUUUGCACUGUUUCCCCGCCUUCUUUGAACUUUCUGUUUCUGUUCUCGCACACGCUCUGCGUAAAUAAUUUGAUUGGGUGAGCAGCAUCGUGUGGGAUAACCUAUAAUGCACGCGAGUGAUCUGUGCCAUCUUCGGCCAGAUUAAAAUAUAUGGGAAUAAGAACUGUAUGUAUGAGAAAAGGUCCGCAGAGUGAUCGGUAAUAGAUCUGGGUGCAGAUCCAGUCCGUGGUUUGCAUAUUGGUGAUGUGGCAUUAGAUUGAAAAAAAAUACUCAGUGGCUAAACAUGAAUUCAAACCUCCACACAGGUUUAUGUUAAAGGUAAAAACAGAUUUGUUUGAAGGUUGAUGUGGGAUUAAAGGAGUUGUAUCAGCUCUGCAAGCAGAAAACUGAACAGAACCUUAGUCUCAACGUCCUCAUAUUAAUACAGGAAGUUACUGAACACAUGAGACAGAAGCAACAUGUUUUCAUUAUGCUCACCUCAAACAAGCCAACUGAUGAUGCUCAGGUAACAGCAGUGGACGGAAAAAGGCUGGAAUUUGUAUUUUUGGUGCUAUUUUUCUUGGAAUUGUGUGAAUUUUCUUAAUUUAAAUGUAUUAUUUAAUUAAUAAAUUUUUUCCUGUCCUUUCCGAAAGUGUAGCAUUCAGGAUUGCUGAAGGCUAAAAAUGCCCAAUGGUUUACAUUCCCAAGUGGACCAUUAUGGCAUUUGCUACAAUGGUCCACUUGAUAGUUAUAAUUUAUUAAAACUUUAUUAGGAUUUUUUUUUUAUUUUGAGUUAUUACAACCACAGCAGACAAGAACAGGGGACAGAAAAGAAAAAGAGAGAGCGAAAACCUUGAAAAUCUUCCUCAACACCUGAAAUGAAAACAUACAAAGAAAAUAAAGUUUUAAUUUCAGUGGCAGAUCUCACACACGCUGCUCACUGCUGUAAAACUGAAAAUGAGGUUUAGUGAUUAGAAAACUAAAAAGCUGGAGCCAUAAGGUUCUUUCCACAUUAAGAAACUGUGAUUAUGAAAGUUUCAUGCUGACUUGAGAAUUGCUACAACUGACAAACAAAGAAUAUCUUUACACAACACAGUAACCGACCUCUGACUAUAUAAAGAUCAUUUAGAGACAUUUCGCUUUUGUAUUGAAACCACAAAAUAUUAAUUAACAUUAAUUAACAAAAUAAAAAUUCUUUGAUUUGUAUUUAAUUUUGUGUUUCAUUUUAAAAUGUCAUUUUACUGAAAGUUCAUGAACUUCAUGAGCUCUGAAUCCACUCUGUGUCAGCUGCUUUAUGUUCACGCUGAGGUGACCUGUAAUGAUACAUACUCUGCACGAUUAAACUUUCUCCUGCACUCUCUCUGUUUAUCUGCAGUAACAGAAACAGAACAAAUCAUCUUUUUUUCCUCUUCCUCAGUUAAAAAAAAGACGUCUAGAUAGUGUGUGACAGAUUUUAUGUUGAUGAUGUUUGAAUAUUUGUGUCUUCGAUGAUGAUCCUAGUUGUCACUCAAGCUGCUCUGCUGCCACCUGGAGGCUUGAAAGUGUUAAAGCAUCAAUCUACAGCUCAGUGAAUGUGACAUCAGAAUAACCAGCACAGCCAAAGAAUCCUGAAUAAACUGAAGUGUUUGCAGUACAGCUGCAGUGCUGAUGGGUCGCACUUCACUUCCGCUCAAAGUGAGAGUCCAGAUUCAAGUUUGAACAAAACUUGCAAAGAAAAAGUUAAAGCUGUUGUGUUGAUAUUUGAAGUGCUUUGAUUAUUUUUGGAUAACAAGAGAACAUGCGCAUCAGCUAAGAAGGAAAAAAGUUCACAUUAACUGAGACUGAUGACUAACUAAACAUAAUUAGUUUUAUUUUUGAGCAGCUGAAAGUAGCUACAAGCUAUGUCCUCUUUCAAAGUUACAGCAAUCUACACACAGAUCUUCAGGUAUCUGUUACAAAUUGGUACGAAAGCUUUUGUACAAACAGUUCCGCUGCGUUUAUUACCUAGCCUUUUAUUGUUAAACAAGUCAACGGACUUGCUGUAGUAAGAAGUUACCUUUAUGAGAUUAUGCCUUUAUCCCAAUUCAGGGUCUGCAGCCUUGGAGCAUGUGGCCUUCGCGAUCUACGUGGGCCAUGUCCUCAAAGACCGAGAAGGCCGGAAGUGUGCUUGUGAAAUGGGACGGUCUAACCUCCAUCCCCAGGUUGCCUAGCAACCAUGAUACUAACAGCCGGAAACGUUUCAUACAUCAUUGUUUAACAGAAAUUAAGGAGAAAAUCUUUUGUUCAUUUGUUUGUUUGUUUGUUUUUACAUGAGCUCUGUGUGAUUUGAUAAGUAUCUGAGGCUGAGACCACAGGACUGUAAAACAUGAUAGUUGGGCUUCAUUUCUGUACUGAACAGUCAUUUUAAGAUUAGCUAGUAAAUAACAAUUAGCUAAUGUUGUUCAUGAGACUAAAGUCAUCUUACUUUGAUAAUGUAAAUAUAAUAUGGCCAAUAUUAUAGUUAUUAUAUUAAUCAUUAUUAGUUAUUACAGCAGUGAACAUGAACUCUGUGUCAAAUACUGAGCUUCAGUAAAGAUUCAAGUUGCAGUUAUUUAUAUGUACUAUCACCUUAAAUGUUCACUCAAAGACAAGUAUCUUUGACAGUGUAUAUACAGAUGUAUUAUAUAUAAGAGACAAACAUUGUUCUUUUAAUAUGUUGGCAUUACUAAAUUUGGCUUUGUUUUGCUUUUUUUAAUCAACAUAAAGUGAACUUUUUUAGUCAUGCACAGAGAGCCUGGUGUGGUUGCGGAUCUAAAUGCAGAAAGAGGAGAUGUUUUUACGCCUGAUGCGGUGAAAUUUUCCUUCAAACUUUGUUUGGUCAACUGUGGUUUGUUUAAAAAUGUUAAAUGUCAUGUUUUAAUGUCAGUUUCAUGCAUUAAAAAUGCUUUUGUUACGGUUUGGAGGAGGACUCAAGCGCAGGACUCCGAUUCUGAUGCUCACAGAAAGGGUUUAUUUACAAUGCACCAGGUGUAUAUACAAGAAUGUGCGGGGGGUGCUAUAUACAGCUGAGUGAGGGGAGAAGGGGUCUCCAGGGAAGUCCAGGGGAAAGCACGCGUUCUUCAGAGUAUCCACUCACACGAUCACAGGCUUACACGGGAAUCACACGGGGGGAAAAUCCAGGGAGCUCUGUAGACAGGGAGACAGGGUAAGUACGACGCACACAGGAAAACACUCUUAACUAACUUGCUGUAGCUUGGCUUCACUAACGCGUGGUAGACAACGAUCCAGCGACGAACAGCAGUCACCUCCUGGCUUAAAUGCUGACCAUCAUAAUGAGACCCAGGUGUCUCAUCUCCCGAGGGCGUGGGCCGAGGGCGUGAACCCACAGUGAGUUCCGCCCCGGCGAGAGAGAAGCGGAGAGAGAGAGGAAGAGAGCGAGAGGAACAGAGAGAGCUGAUCAGCGUGCAGCUGAUCCGCCUGGCCGUGACAGUACCCCCCCCCCGACGGGAGCCUCCCGGCGACUCCCAGGCUUGUCAGGGUGAGCCGCAUGGAACGCCCGCACCAUACCCCGAUCCAGAAGGGCCGUCCGCGGGAUCCAAGAACGCUCCUCCAUCCCGUAGCCCUCCCAAUCCACGAGAUACCGCAGACCGUGCCCCCGGCGCCGGACAUCCAUGAUCCAUGAAAUGGUGAAAGCCGGGUGGCCAUCAAUGACCCGGGCGGGUGGAGGGGGCCUGGAAGGAGGGCACAGAGGACUAGAGA